rnacentral:rRNA from 1 species
GACGAACGCUGGCGGCGUGCUUAACACAUGCAAGUCGAACGGAAAGGCCCUGCUUUUGUGGGGUGCUCGAGUGGCGAACGGGUGAGUAACACGUGAGUAACCUGCCCUUGACUUUGGGAUAACUUCAGGAAACUGGGGCUAAUACCGGAUAGGAGCUCCUGCUGCAUGGUGGGGGUUGGAAAGUUUCGGCGGUUGGGGAUGGACUUGCGGCUUAUCAGCUUGUUGGUGGGGUAGUGGCUUACCAAGGCUUUGACGGGUAGCCGGCCUGAGAGGGUGACCGGCCACAUUGGGACUGAGAUACGGCCCAGACUCCUACGGGAGGCAGCAGUGGGGAAUAUUGCACAAUGGGCGGAAGCCUGAUGCAGCAACGCCGCGUGCGGGAUGACGGCCUUCGGGUUGUAAACCGCUUUCGCCUGUGACGAAGCGUGAGUGACGGUAAUGGGUAAAGAAGCACCGGCUAACUACGUGCCAGCAGCCGCGGUGAUACGUAGGGUGCGAGCGUUGUCCGGAUUUAUUGGGCGUAAAGGGCUCGUAGGUGGUUGAUCGCGUCGGAAGUGUAAUCUUGGGGCUUAACCCUGAGCGUGCUUUCGAUACGGGUUGACUUGAGGAAGGUAGGGGAGAAUGGAAUUCCUGGUGGAGCGGUGGAAUGCGCAGAUAUCAGGAGGAACACCAGUGGCGAAGGCGGUUCUCUGGGCCUUUCCUGACGCUGAGGAGCGAAAGCGUGGGGAGCGAACAGGCUUAGAUACCCUGGUAGUCCACGCUGUAAACGGUGGGUACUAGGUGUGGGGUCCAUUCCACGGGUUCCGUGCCGUAGCUAACGCUUUAAGUACCCCGCCUGGGGAGUACGGCCGCAAGGCUAAAACUCAAAGGAAUUGACGGGGCCCCGCACAAGCGGCGGAGCAUGCGGAUUAAUUCGAUGCAACGCGUAGAACCUUACCUGGGUUUGACAUGGAUCGGGAGUGCUCAGAGAUGGGUGUGCCUCUUUUGGGGUCGGUUCACAGGUGGUGCAUGCCUGUCGUCAGCUCGUGUCGUGAGAUGUUGGGUUAAGUCCCGCAACGAGCGCAACCCUUGUUCACUGUUGCCAGCACGUUAUGGUGGGGACUCAGUGGAGACCGCCGGGGUCAACUCGGAGGAAGGUGGGGAUGACGUCAAGUCAUCAUGCCCCUUAUGUCCAGGGCUUCACGCAUGCUACAAUGGCUGGUACAGAGAGUGGCGAGCCUGUGAGGGUGAGCGAAUCUCGGAAAGCCGGUCUCAGUUCGGAUUGGGGUCUGCAACUCGACCUCAUGAAGUCGGAGUCGCUAGUAAUCGCAGAUCAGCAACGCUGCGGUGAAUACGUUCCCGGGGCU